CUUCCCUGGCCAGCCACUUUGGCCGAAAGGAGGCGGCCACAAUGAUUGGCCUGGGCAGAUCACAUGCUCGUGCGGUCACGUGGCCGCCAGGAAAGCUGGCGUGGGGAGGAAGCCUCCAGAGCGCCAUCGUAUGUAGGCACCUCGCGCGACACAUGCCUGCUGCAAAGCGACCCGGAAGCGGAAGCGGAUGCCGUGGGGCUGUGCGGAGCCCUCGCUGGCGGGAGACUCCUUGGUGGACAGGCUGGAGAUUAUUCAGGGCGCUUACUCUGCAAGGGGUGGAAAGCUGUGCGAUGGCAUCUUGUAAACCAGAAAUGCUGUUUGUUACUAUUAGGAUAGAGGCGGGGUGCCCCGGUGCUGAGAUAAAUGGUGGGGUGCAAUUUACUUUAAAAUGCUUAAGCGCCAAAAGAGCGAUCCGAAUGUGAGUCUGUACCGCUUCAUCUACACUCUCAGGGAGGCCAGUUGCCCCCAGGAGGGCAACUCCAGGGGGUGGUAAUUAGAGUUUAAUCAGAAGGCCAUAGCCCAGAGGGGCUCCCACAGUGCUUCCGCUGUCUCUCUGAUGGAUACCAGAGGUGGCGUUAGCUGGCGUCAUGAAUGGAGGGAUGGGUCCUCGUUGGUGAAGCACCGAGAAACCCCACGAACACGUGGGCGGGGUGUUAGAAUCUACGGAGUCUUUCCUCCCUCCCACUUAGGAGUGUUGACCACCCACCGCCUGCAUGUCCAGCGGCUGAUUCCGGAGGAUGGGGGCCAACCCGAGUCUCACCAGCUGGGUCUCCAAUCCCGCUGCGAGAGUACUGUCACAUCGGCUUCAGGAAGAAGGACGAGGAACGAUACCAGCCACAACCAGAGUUUGCCAAGGGCAGGAUGGAGCACAGGUGGAUAGGAGACUGGGAUUCCCAGGGCUGUUGCCCCUCUGCUCAGCUGCUGCAUCCGGGGCGAGCCACUUCAGCUCUUCGGUCCCCAAUGUUUUUCAUCUGAAGAUAAAGUGAUUGAACUAGAGAAUCUUUAAGACUCUACUCAGCUCUAAAUAGUCUUUGACUCCAUGAAAUGGGUCGUUCGUGGAUUACGCUCUACAAAGCCUCCGAGUAUGGGAAACGAUUGUCAUCCUUUGUGGAAGGUUACACUUUCUAAAGAUGGCCACAGCGACUCGUCCCACCCCACAGGCCCAUGGCCACUCUGCCAUCGGGAAGUGGAGUCUAAUUCUCAUCCCCUUAAGUCUGUGCUGACCUGAUAACUCGCUUGCUAUCCCAGGGGACCAUGGGAGCGUGUAACUACUGAACCGUGGGAGAAAUUACCCUGACGGCCUUCCCAAAAGGCUAUGCAGAUUCCAGUUCUCUCUAGCUGCCGAAGAAUCUAGCACCAUAGAAGAAACCCCACUAGGCUGAGCCCGCCAUGCUGGAGGGGCUCUGUAUAGGCAUUCACGCGGACCACCCGGCUGAACUUCCAGACCGCAGCCAGCCUCACCUGCCGGCUCUGUGUGCAUGUGCCAUGUCGGCCAUCCAGCCCCCGCAGAUCUUCAGAUGACUGAGGCCUCAGGUGACAUCAUACCGUGAGCCUCAUGAGAGAUCCCACAGGUGAAGAGUCCAGCGGAGCCUUUUCGGAAUUCCUAACCCCCGCCCCCCCAAACCAUGAGCAAAAUAAAAUGGUUGCUGUUCUACA